UGACAACUAUGAUUAAAAAUUUCAUUAGUAUGUAAUAUAUUUAAUUACUAAAUGAAGACAAUAAUCCCUCUAAAUCUAUGUUGCCA
ensembl:snoRNA